AUAUAAGAAAAGAAGGGAAUAGUUAGUUGUAGCCUUGUAGGAAAUGUUUGGAGCACUCCAGGUUCUUGGGCAAGAUUAAGAUUCAGCAAUGGCAUGUAGACUCAGAAGUCCUACCGAAAAAAAAAAGGAGCCAGCUUUAGAACGCAGUUGAACACCAGAUAUCUUUGUUCGUUCUUAUGCGCCGCAGCAUGCACUUGUCACCUAUUGUGCUACAGCGUACAAUUUUGAGACUGAAUUCACCAACAAGGAAUAACCGCUGUCAUCUAUUUUAGUAUUUUAACCUCUUGGGUUUUGUUCUCAUGCUCCUUGUGUUAACCAUCUUGCCUUUUCUGUAUGAUCAUUCUAACCAAUUUCUGUAACUCAAAUACUAGAGUAGGAAUAUGCAAUGUUCUUUUCUUUUAAGUUCAUUCUAACCUAUUUCUGAAAAUGAGCUUAAUGGAGUCCUGAUAUAUAGUGCAUCAAAGAAGCGAGCAUCUAAAAUACCUGACCAUUUGUACUGUUAUCAACGAAAGGAAAAAAAAACAACAGAUAUGCAUUAAUUACAAGGUUGUUUUAAUAUGUAAAUUUUGAUCAAGAAUACAAGGGUAGCUGGCACAAGUGUUCUUAGUGGAUGUAGUAGCCUUUUUUUUUCUUUCUAUAUGCCCUAAAAGUCCAAAUGAAGCGCAGUUGACUUUUGUGUAACAUGCGAUCUAGCCAUCCAUGUCAAUCUUCUCAGCUCAAGAAUGUGCUGAUUCGGUAGUCUAUUAUAUUCAUAGAGAAAACUGGAAGUUGAUUCUAUAUUCCUGGAUUGGCAGUAACAAUUUUGUAAGGCUGUUUAUUCUGAAUUUAAUUGACUUGGAAGAUGUGAAAGUGGCCGUCUUAGACAUGCCACAUGCUAAAAUUCUUAGGUAAAGUAAAAGCAUGGAGCAACUUCAGACGAUCCAAAUUGGUAGGACAUGUUUGACGUCAGAGUAGCCUCUUGAUUGUUAGUACAUCAGUGGAAUUUAGUUUGUGGUCACGUGGUUGCAGGCAUAAUAUUGUACUGUCUGUUUUUGUAUGAUACUAGUAUUACGUAGUUAUUACUACUUGCAAUGUGAAAAUUUACAAGUGGAUGCCUCGCCAUGCUGCAACAAGAUCUGUAUAUGAGCCCGUGUUAACGAAUAUAAGUGGAUCAGCCCAGGAAAAUCCAUUAUCUAGCUGUUUCUGAAGGAAGUAGAGAUUUGUCUGGUUCCUUCAACAGGAUCGGUGUUCUACAUAGCCGGUUAUCACAGCCUUGUUGUGAUGUUGGAGGUAAAAUGCUAAGCCCCAAUACGUUAUAGCAGGUGAUAUUGUGCUGUAGUUUUUGGUGAUCAUGACAUGAAAAAUUCGAUAAUUGAACCCUUUGGUUAGGAUUAUGUACUUGUGAGGAAAAUGUAGAAUUAUGACUCAGUCAUGUAUCACAUGAUGGGAUCUUGUAUAGAACAUGGCACAAUUCAAUCACACACUAUCUACGCCAUUUUCCGGUAAUUAUUGUGUGGUAGGAUGGCACAUGAUAGUCAAAAAGGUGUGCUAUGUACAGUAGUUGAGGAAUAUCUUCAUGUCAUCUUGCUGCUCGUAGACCACAGCUGUCUUCUGCCGCGAGUUGUUGUACCCUUCUUUCUCUCAGCAGGUAGUACUCAAUUACCCGUAGUAAGUAAUAUUACAUCAGUUUAUAUUCAUUUUACAUUAUAAAAUAUUCUGGAUCCAUCUUUAUCUUCAUGGCAUAGUCAAAUCUAGAGUGCG